AAGUCGUAACAAGGUUUCCGUAGGUGAACCUGCGGAAGGAUCAUUAACACGUAUCCAACGUUAAACAACCCUGUGAACCUUGAACGUGCUCCUGCAGCCCCAUGAAAUCCCACAGUUUCCGACUGGGCAGCCGAUAAUACGGACGCCGUAAAAAACUGAACAACUGUUAACAAUGGAUAUCUUGGUUCUC
rnacentral:misc_RNA from 1 species